rnacentral:rRNA from 1 species
CCUACGGGUGGCAGCAGUGAGGAAUAUUGGUCAAUGGACGAGAGUCUGAACCAGCCAAGUAGCGUGAAGGAUGACUGCCCUAUGGGUUGUAAACUUCUUUUAUAUGGGAAUAAAAUGUUCCACGUGUGGGAUUUUGUAUGUACCAUAUGAAUAAGGAUCGGCUAACUCCGUGCCAGCAGCCGCGGUAAUACGGAGGAUCCGAGCGUUAUCCGGAUUUAUUGGGUUUAAAGGGAGCGUAGGUGGAUUGUUAAGUCAGUUGUGAAAGUUUGGGGCUCAACCGUAAAAUUGCAGUUGAAACUGGCAGUCUUGAGUACAGUAGAGGUAGGCGGAAUUCGUGGUGUAGCGGUGAAAUGCUUAGAUAUCACGCAGAACUCCGAUUGCGAAGGCAGUUCACUGGACUGCAACUGACACUGAGGCUCGAAAGUGUGGGUAUCAAACAGGAUUAGAUACCCGAGUAGUC